UACGGAGGGGGCGAGCGUUAUUCGGAAUUAUUGGGCGUAAAGGGCGCGUAGGCGGCUUGAUAAGUCAAAGGUGAAAUCCCUCGGCUCAACUGAGGAACUGCCUUUGAAACUGUCAGACUUGAGGCCGGGAGGGGGUAGCGGAAUUCCCAGUGUAGCGGUGAAAUGCGUAGAUAUCAGGAGGAACACCUGCGGUGUAGACGGCUUACUGGACCACUACUGACGCUGAGGCACGAAAGCGUGGGGAGCAAACAGG
rnacentral:rRNA from 1 species